AAUAAACGUCCCAGUUCGGAUUGUAGUCUGNAACCCGACUACAUGAAGCUGGAAUCGCUAGUAAUCGCGAAUCAGAAUGUCGCGGUGAAUACGUUCCCGGGUCUUGUACACACCGCCCGUCACACCAUGGGAGUCGGAAAUGCCCGAAGUCAGUGACCCAACCGUAAGGAGGGAGCUGCCGAAGGUGGAGCCGGUAACUGGGGUGAAGUCGUAACAAGGUAAC
rnacentral:rRNA from 1 species